GAUGAACGCUGGCGGCGUGCCUAAUACAUGCAAGUCGAGCGAACAGACGAGGAGCUUGCUCCUCUGACGUUAGCGGCGGACGGGUGAGUAACACGUGGAUAACCUACCUAUAAGACUGGGAUAACUUCGGGAAACCGGAGCUAAUGCCGGAUAAUAUAUUGAACCGCAUGGUUCAAUAGUGAAAGACGGUUUUGCUGUCACUUAUAGAUGGAUCCGCGCCGCAUUAGCUAGUUGGUAAGGUAACGGCUUACCAAGGCGACGAUGCGUAGCCGACCUGAGAGGGUGAUCGGCCACACUGGAACUGAGACACGGUCCAGACUCCUACGGGAGGCAGCAGUAGGGAAUCUUCCGCAAAGGGCGAAAGCCUGACGGAGCAACGCCGCGUGAGUGAUGAAGGUCUUCGGAUCGUAAAACUCUGUUAUUAGGGAAGAACAAAUGUGUAAGUAACUAUGCACGUCUUGACGGUACCUAAUCAGAAAGCCACGGCUAACUACGUG
rnacentral:rRNA from 1 species